CCGUCAGAGAUGACGGGUCCGGAGGAAGCAUGAGGUAGAACCUGCGUACGUAGCGAACAGCGAACCGGCUAUAUGGCAUCGGGGAGAGGGUCGAGCAGGCUUGGGCGAGCGAGACCCGGUAUCCGGCAGUAUCGAACCGAUGUGAAGCCGGACGGCAUGCGGGGAGGUCGCACGC
rfam:Spirochaetes bacterium GWB1_66_5 gwb1_scaffold_25448, whole genome shotgun sequence.